rnacentral:rRNA from 1 species
GAUGAACGCUGGCGGCGCGCCUAACACAUGCAAGUCGGACGGCACCCCUCUCCGGAGGGAAGCGAGUGGCGAACGGCUGAGUAACACGUGGAGAACCUGCCCCCUCCCCCGGGAUAGCCGCCCGAAAGGACGGGUAAUACCGGAUACCCCGGGGUGCCGCAUGGCGCCCCGGCUAAAGCCCCGACGGGAGGGGAUGGCUCCGCGGCCCAUCAGGUAGACGGCGGGGUGACGGCCCACCGUGCCGACAACGGGUAGCCGGGUUGAGAGACCGACCGGCCAGAUUGGGACUGAGACACGGCCCAGACUCCUACGGGAGGCAGCAGUGGGGAAUCUUGCGCAAUGGGGGGAACCCUGACGCAGCGACGCCGCGUGCGGGACGGAGGCCUUCGGGUCGUAAACCGCUUUCAGCAGGGAAGAGUCAAGACUGUACCUGCAGAAGAAGCCCCGGC